GUCUUUUUGAGAAUAAUUUAAAGUCUAAUCUGCCCACUGAUUGUAAAAUUAAAGGGCUGCAGUAUUUUGACUGUACAAAGGUAGCAUAAUCAAUAGUCUCUUAAUUGGUGACUUGUAUGAAAGAUUUGAUGAAAUAUAAACUGUCUCUAUUAAAUUUAUAAAAUUUAAUUUUUUAGUUAAAAAGCUAAGAUUUUUUUAAAAGACGAGAAGACCCUAUAGAGUUUUAUAAUUUAUUUAUUUUUAAUUUUGUUUAAAUAUUAAAAUUAUAAAUAAAUGAAUUAUUUUAUUGGGGUGAUAGAAAAAUUUAAUAAACUUUUUUUAAAAAUUUUACAUUAAUCUAUGAUUAUAUGAUCCGUAAAUUACGAUUAAAAGAUUAAAUUACCUUAGGGAUAACAGCGUAAUUUUUUUUUUUAGUUCAAAUAAGAAAAAGAGUUUGCGACCUCGAUGUUGGAUUAAGAUAAAAUUUAUAAUGCAAAAGUUUAAAAUUUUUGAUCUGUUCGAUCAUUAAAAUCUUACA
rnacentral:rRNA from 1 species